GACGAACGCUGGCGGCGUGCUUAACACAUGCAAGUCGAACGGAAAGGCCCUGCUUUUGUGGGGUGCUCGAGUGGCGAACGGGUGAGUAACACGUGAGUAACCUGCCCUUGACUUUGGGAUAACUUCAGGUAACUGGGGCUAAUACCGGAUAGGAGCUCCUGCUGCAUGGUGGGGGUUGGAAAGUUUCGGCGGUUGGGGCUGGACUCGCGGGUUAUCAGCUUGUUGGUGGGGUAGUGGCAUACCAAGGUUUUGACGGGUAGGCCGCCUGGGAGGGGGGCCGGGCACCUUGGGACUGAGAUACGGACCAGAAUCCUACGGGAGGCAGCAGUGGGGAAUAUUGCACAAUGGGCGGAAGCCUGAUGCAGCAACGCCGCGUGCGGGAUGACGGCCUUCGGGUUGUAAACCGCUUUCGCCUGUGACGAAGCGUGAGUGACGGUAAUGGGUAAAGAAGCACCGGCUAACUACGUG
rnacentral:rRNA from 1 species